GAUCUAAAGAAACGACUCAGGGUCUGCGGCGCUUGCACGUCAACGGAAGGUGUGAGCCCAAAGGUCUGGACCCAGAAAUGGGACGUCGGUCAUCAGAUACUGAAGAAGAAAGCAGAAGCAAGAGAAAAAAGAAACACCGUAGGCGGUCCUCCUCGAGCAGUUCUUCAGAUAGUAGAACAUACAGCCGAAAGAAAGGAGGAAGGAAAUCAAGAUCAAAGUCAAGAUCUUGGUCCAGAGAUCUUCAGCCUCGUUCACAUUCUUAUGAUAGAAGACGCAGGCAUCGAUCAAGCAGUAGUUCUUCUUAUGGCUCCAGAAGGAAACGAAGUCGAAGUCGUUCAAGGGGUCGAGGGAAAUCCUACAGAGUUCAGAGGUCUAGGUCAAAAAGCAGAACAAGAAGUUUUUCAAUGGGUGUGGAGAUCAUGCAGGAGCAAUAGAGAAAACGAGAAAAUUGUGGACGAGCAAAACUGGGCAACAUUGUUCUUGGACAGAUAGUCUGAAAGUGAGCCGUUUGCUUGAGGAUGAUAAGUUGAGUGUAAAAUGGGUCACACAUA
rnacentral:sRNA from 1 species